UGAGUAACACGUAUCCAACCUGCCGUCUACUCUUGGCCAGCCUUCUGAAAGGAAGAUUAAUACAAGAUGGCAUCAUGAGUCCGCAUGUUCACAUGAUUAAAGGUGUUCCGGUAGACGAUGGGGAUGCGUUCCAUUAGGCAGUUGGUGAGGUAACGGCUCACCAAACCUUCGAUGGAUAGGGGUUCUGAGAGGAAGGUCCCCCACAUUGGAACUGAGACACGGUCCAA
rnacentral:rRNA from 1 species